CGCUCCGCCGCGCACGGAGGGGCGAGCGGCCGCGGCGGCGGCCGGGGAGAGCAGCGCCGGCGUCGGAGAGCCCCGGUGCCCCGGAUUUCUUCACAUUCAGUUUCCCUGUGACAACAGAUGUUCCUGCUCUAGUCGUGGAUAUCUUGGUCUGAGAAGCUUGAGCCUCCUGACAUACAGACAGGCCUAAUGUACCUUUUAUCUUGGUGGAAAACUAAGGGUGGAAAUAAACUUCUGGAUUCUCUUUACCCUCUUGCUUGGACCGCAGAUUUCACUGACAAAGUCUUGCAGGAAAGAAAAACACCUAAAGACUCAGAAGAAAAUCUCAGCUGAAGAGUGGAUUAUACGUGCAAUGAAAAUAUCAGAAAUGCCGAUGCUAGACAGGAAAUUGCAUGCAUUUUCAGGUUCUCCAGAUUGGAGGUUGGAUGUUUUCCCUCACUGCUUCCAUCCAAGUUCUUGUCCCUUCACCUCAUGUUCCUCAACUGCUUCCAGUUAACAGUGCAUUUUCUGAUCAAAGGCUUUAAGAACUAAAAAAAACAGGACAAAAGCAAGAGAUACAAAAUUGUAUUUUCCCUGUAUGAAUAAAGAACAAACACAUCUGCUAAGCAGUCAAGAAAAAUGCUUACAACAAUAGCUAGGACAGAAAUCCUGCAGCAAUGUCAGCUCAACAUCCAGUAGAUUCAAGAGGGUGCAAGGGGAAAAAAAAAAAAAAAAAAAAAAAAAAGUCCUUUCUGAAGGACUGAGCACCAAAUAAUCCUGUCCCCAGCUAAACCAUAUAGAGCUUCUCGUUUCUUUAACUUAGUAGUAGAGGCUGCAGCCUUCAUAUUUGAUGUGAACUACUUCCAAGUCUUCUGUUCCUUUGAACAUAUUCCCAUCUCUUCCAAUGGAUGCGAGCAGGGAACAAAUAUGAGGAGGUAAGCCUCUAGUAACUCCCCUUCUAGCAUAACAGUCCAUUUACUAUUCUCACUUGCCAGCAGCAGGAACUAACUAAAUACAGGCCUCAAGUUCUUUUCCUUCUUAAAAUGCAAGCAUUUUCAUGAAGUAACACCAAUCUGGUUUUGGUUUAGAACUGACAGUGAAACGACUCAUUCUGGUAAACAAAAUGGAUCAUCUUUUUCAAGUAACGCUUCCAGGAUUAUUAUAAAUCGAGUUGAAAAGGUUAGUAACUUAAUUGGGAAAACUUCUGCUCUUGUAAAUAUAAUAGCACAGUUCACUGCUGCCUAUUCAGUUUCCUCAACUCUUCACUUGAACUUCAGGCUCUAUUUUCACGUAGCAAGUCACAAGACCUGUUUUAACGUUUUUCCUCAAAAUGCUUAACAAGCAUUCAUUCACACUACACCAAAUUAAAACAGAAGCUGCACAGUGUCUCUCAACACACACAAAGUUUAUUGUGUAUUAGGUAACUUUAAGGAACAACUAAUGGAUCAUCUGGAAGCUCCAGUUCCUCAGUGCCAGCAGUCAUUUCAAAUGUCUUGGUACUAAAAUAUCUCAGCGUUUUAAAAGGCUACUAUUUUGCACAAAUCCCAGUAUUACCAGGAUUCAAUAGAAAGAAAGGACAGAUUAUGCAUACACUGUAACUCCUCUUUAUCAACACACACUGAGAUCUUGGACCAAAAACCCCAGGCUGGUAUGAACAGACUUCAACUGAGGCUACAGCUCCACAUCAAAGAACCCCGAAGUGUUUGUCACCUACAUAAACUGUCUUUAAAAAUAUA